UCUGCCCUUAGAUGUAUUGCAGAUAUAGCUGAUGUGUCACAUAUGCUUUGGUAGGUGUCAGAGAAGAGAGAGCCUAUGCCUAUGCUCAGUGUUCUGAAUACACACACACACACAUAUAAAUAAUAGCAUUCCACG